GUCCUAGCCCUAAACGAUGCUCAUUAGAUGUGGGAGGUAUCGACCCCUUCCGCGUCGCAGCUAACGCAUUAAAUGAGCCGCCUGGGGAGUACGGCCGCAAGGUUGAAACUCAAAGGAAUUGACGGGGGCCCGCACAAGCGGUGGAACAUGUGGUUUAAUUCGACGCAACGCGAAGAACCUUACCUGGGCUUGAACUACUGGUAGUAAGUCCCGAGAAACCGGGGCUGAUCCGCAAGGAAGCCAGCAGAGGUGCUGCAUGGUUGUCGU
rnacentral:rRNA from 1 species